rnacentral:rRNA from 1 species
GUCUUAAUUGGGCGUUAAGUUGCAGGGUAUAGACCCGAAACCCGGUGAUCUAGCCAUGGGCAGGUUGAAGGUUGGGUAACACUAACUGGAGGACCGAACCGACUAAUGUUGAAAAAUUAGCGGAUGACCUGUGGCUGGGGGUGAAAGGCCAAUCAAACCGGGAGAUAGCUGGUUCUCCCCGAAAGCUAUUUAGGUAGCGCCUCGUGAAUUCAUCUCCGGGGGUAGAGCACUGUUUCGGCUAGGGGGCCAUCCCGGCUUACCAACCCGAUGCAAACUGCGAAUACCGGAGAAUGUUAUCACGGGAGACACACGGCGGGUGCUAACGUCCGUCGUGAAGAGGGAAACAACCCAGACCGCCAGCUAAGGUCCCAAAGUCAUGGUUAAGUGGGAAACGAUGUGGGAAGGCCCAGACAGCCAGGAUGUUGGCUUAGAAGCAGCCAUCAUUUAAAGAAAGCGUAAUAGCUCACUGGUCGAGUCGGCCUGCGCGGAAGAUGUAACGGGGCUAAACCAUGCACCGAAGCUGCGGCAGCGAACGUAUCACCCAAGACAACUUUACGGAGUUGACGAUUGACGGAGCGAAGCGACGUCAAAGCGUUCAUUAAAGUCGAGUUGGCUUAGGGAUACGUUCGUUGGGUAGGGGAGCGUUCUGUAAGCCUGUGAAGGUGUGUCGUGAGGCAUGCUGGAGGUAUCAGAAGUGCGAAUGCUGACAUAAGUAACGAUAAAGCGGGUGAAAAGCCCGCUCGCCGGAAGACCAAGGGUUCCUGUCCAACGUUAAUCGGGGCAGGGUGAGUCGACCCCUAAGGCGAGGCCGAAAGGCGUAGUCGAUGGGAAACGGGUUAAUAUUCCCGUACUUGGUGUUACUGCGAAGGGGGGACGGAGAAGGCUAUGUUGGCCGGGCGACGGUUGUCCCGGUUUAAGCGUGUAGGUGUGUGUUCCAGGUAAAUCCGGUUCACUUUAACACUGAGGCGUGACGACGAGGCACUACGGUGCUGAAGCAACAAAUGCCCUGCUUCCAGGAAAAGCCUCUAAGCAUCAGGUAACACGAAAUCGUACCCCAAACCGACACAGGUGGUCAGGUAGAGAAUACCAAGGCGCUUGAGAGAACUCGGGUGAAGGAACUAGGCAAAAUGGUGCCGUAACUUCGGGAGAAGGCACGCUGACACGUAGGUGAAGUGAUUUACUCAUGGAGCUGAAGUCAGUCGAAGAUACCAGCUGGCUGCAACUGUUUAUUAAAAACACAGCACUGUGCAAACACGAAAGUGGACGUAUACGGUGUGACGCCUGCCCGGUGCCGGAAGGUUAAUUGAUGGGGUCAGCGCAAGCGAAGCUCCUGAUCGAAGCCCCGGUAAACGGCGGCCGUAACUAUAACGGUCCUAAGGUAGCGAAAUUCCUUGUCGGGUAAGUUCCGACCUGCACGAAUGGCGUAAUGAUGGCCAGGCUGUCUCCACCCGAGACUCAGUGAAAUUGAACUCGCUGUGAAGAUGCAGUGUACCCGCGGCAAGACGGAAAGACCCCGUGAACCUUUACUAUAGCUUGACACUGAACAUUGAGCCUUGAUGUGUAGGAUAGGUGGGAGGCUUUGAAGUGUGGACGCCAGUCUGCAUGGAGCCGACCUUGAAAUACCACCCUUUAAUGUUUGAUGUUCUAACGUGGACCCGUAAUCCGGGUUGCGGACAGUGUCUGGUGGGUAGUUUGACUGGGGCGGUCUCCUCCUAAAGAGUAACGGAGGAGCACGAAGGUUGGCUAAUCCUGGUCGGACAUCAGGAGGUUAGUGCAAUGGCAUAAGCCAGCUUGACUGCGAGCGUGACGGCGCGAGCAGGUGCGAAAGCAGGUCAUAGUGAUCCGGUGGUUCUGAAUGGAAGGGCCAUCGCUCAACGGAUAAAAGGUACUCCGGGGAUAACAGGCUGAUACCGCCCAAGAGUUCAUAUCGACGGCGGUGUUUGGCACCUCGAUGUCGGCUCAUCACAUCCUGGGGCUGAAGUAGGUCCCAAGGGUAUGGCUGUUCGCCAUUUAAAGUGGUACGCGAGCUGGGUUUAGAACGUCGUGAGACAGUUCGGUCCCUAUCUGCCGUGGGCGCUGGAGAACUGAGGGGGGCUGCUCCUAGUACGAGAGGACCGGAGUGGACGCAUCACUGGUGUUCGGGUUGUCAUGCCAAUGGCACUGCCCGGUAGCUAAAUGCGGAAGAGAUAAGUGCUGAAAGCAUCUAAGCACGAAACUUGCCCCGAGAUGAGUUCUCCCUGAGACUUAGAGUCUCCUGAAGGAACGUUGAAGA